UACAGAGGUCUCAAGCGUUGUUCGGAUUCAUUAGGCGUAAAGGGUGCGUAGGUGGCAGGGUAAGUCAGGUGUGAAAUCUCGGGGCUCAACCCCGAAACUGCACUUGAUACUGCCUUGCUUGAGUACUGGAGAGGAGAUUGGAAUUUACGGUGUAGCAGUGAAAUGCGUAGAUAUCGUAAGGAAGACCAGUGGCGAAGGCGAGUUUCUGGACGGUAACUGACGCUGAGGCACGAAGGCCAGGGGAGCAAACGGG
rnacentral:rRNA from 1 species